UUUAAAGAGUGCGUAAUAGCUCACUAGUCGAGUGACACUGCGCCGAAAAUGUACCGGGGCUAAACAUAUUACCGAAGCUGUGGAUUGUCCUUUGGACAAUGGUAGGAGAGCGUUCUAAGGGCGUUGAAGCAUGAUCGUAAGGACAUGUGGAGCGCUUAGAAGUGAGAAUGCCGGUGUGAGUAGCGAAAGACGGGUGAGAAUCCCGUCCACCGAUUGACUAAGGUUUCCAGAGGAAGGCUCGUCCGCUCUGGGUUAGUCGGGUCCUAAGCUGAGGCCGACAGGCGUAGGCGAUGGAUAACAGGUUGAUAUUCCUGUACCACCUAUAAUCGUUUUAAUCGAUGGGGGGACGCAGUAGGAU
rnacentral:rRNA from 1 species